ACUCAACACUAACAAAUUAAAAUGAGCAAAUCUUCAUUCCUAAAGCAUGCUGCCUUGCGCAGAAACUUGAAUAAUGAGUUAGCUCAAAACUUGUCUUAUCGAGUUU
rnacentral:sRNA from 1 species